rnacentral:piRNA from 1 species
GUGUGGAAGGACUCUCUGAGUGUCGCCUUG